rnacentral:misc_RNA from 1 species
GUGAUUAAAUCGAGCGUGUCUUCAUUGACCGCUCACCCUUCUCACCAUCCACAUACACCUGUGCACUGUUUAGCCUGAGCCGGUUUUCCGGUCCAGGUUAUCACUUCAUACAAACUCUAGUCUUAUGAAUGUAAACGUUUUAAUAACAUAAUA